UACAGAGGGUGCGAGCGUUAAUCGGAAUUACUGGGCGUAAAGCGUGCGCAGACGGUCAUGUAAGUCGGGUGUGAAAGCCCCGGGCUCAACCUGGGAAUUGCAUUCGAGACUGUGUGGCUAGGGUGCGGAAGAGGGAAGCGGAAUUUCCGGUGUAGCGGUGAAAUGCGUAGAUAUCGGGAGGAACACCUGUGGCGAAAGCGGCUCACUGGACCAUAACUGACGCUGAUGCACGAAAGCUGGGGGAGCAAACAGG
rnacentral:rRNA from 1 species